rnacentral:rRNA from 1 species
UACGUAGGGUGCAAGCGUUUAAUCGGAAUUACUGGGCGUAAAGCGUGCGCAGGCGGUGAUGUAAGACAGGUGUGAAAUCCCCGGGCUCAACCUGGGAAUUGCAUUUGUGACUGCACGGCUAGAGUGCGGAAGAGGGAAGCGGAAUUUCCGGUGUAGCGGUGAAAUGCGUAGAUAUCGGAAGGAACACCAGUGGCGAAAGCGGCUUCCUGGUCCAGCACCGACGUUCAGGCACGAAAGCGUGGGGAGCAAACAGG